UGGGAUUAAAUUAUGCUCCACUAUGCCUUGC
rnacentral:piRNA from 1 species